rnacentral:rRNA from 1 species
AAAAAAGGUAAGCUACUAAGAGCGAAUGGUGGAUGCCUUGACUGGUAAAGGCGAUGAAGGACGUACUAGACUGCGAUAAGCUACGGGGAGCUGUCAAGAAGCUUUGAUCCGUAGAUUUCCGAAUGGGGCAACCCAAUGUAUAGAGAUAUACAUUACCUAUAUAGGAGCGAACGAGGGGAAUUGAAACAUCUUAGUACCCUCAGGAAAAGAAAUCAAUAGAGAUUGCGUCAGUAGCGGCGAGCGAAAGCGCAAGAGGGCAAACCCAGUGCUUGCACUGGGGGUUGUAGGACUGCAAUGUGCAAGAGGUGAGUUUAGCAGAACAUUCUGGAAAGUAUAGCCAUAGAGGGUGAUAGUCCCGUAUGCGAAAAACAAACCUUAGCUAGCAGUAUCCUGAGUAGGGCGGGACACGAGAAAUCCUGUCUGAAGCUGGGUCGACCACGAUCCAACCCUAAAUACUAAUACCAGAUCGAUAGUGCACAAGUACCGUGAGGGAAAGGUGAAAAGAACUGAGGUGAUCAGAGUGAAAUAGAACCUGAAACCAUUUGCUUACAAUCAUUCAGAGCCCUAUGUAGCAAUACAGGGUGAUGGACUGCCUUUUGCAUAAUGAGCCUGCGAGUUGUGGUGUCUGGCAAGGUUAAGCAAACGCGAAGCCGUAGCGAAAGCGAGUCUGAAUAGGGCGCUUAGUCAGAUGCUGCAGACCCGAAACGAAGUGAUCUAUCCAUGAGCAAGUUGAAGCUAGUGUAAGAACUAGUGGAGGACUGAACCCAUAGGCGUUGAAAAGCCCCGGGAUGACUUGUGGAUAGGGGUGAAAGGCCAAUCAAACUUCGUGAUAGCUGGUUCUCUCCGAAAUAUAUUUAGGUAUAGCGUUGUGUCGUAAUAUAAGGGGGUAGAGCACUGAAUGGGCUAGGGCAUACACCAAUGUACCAAACCCUAUCAAACUCCGAAUACCUUAUAUGUAAUCACAGCAGUCAGGCGGCGAGUGAUAAAAUCCGUCGUCAAGAGGGAAACAACCCAGACUACCAGCUAAGGUCCCUAAAUCUUACUUAAGUGGAAAACGAUGUGAAGUUACUUAAACAACCAGGAGGUUGGCUUAGAAGCAGCCAUCCUUUAAAGAAAGCGUAAUAGCUCACUGGUCUAGUGAUUUUGCGCGGAAAAUAUAACGGGGCUAAAGUAAGUACCGAAGCUGUAGACUUGAUUUUAUCAAGUGGUAGGAGAGCGUUCUAUUUGCGCCGAAGGUAUACCGGUAAGGAGUGCUGGAGCGAAUAGAAGUGAGCAUGCAGGCAUGAGUAGCGAUAAUUAAUGUGAGAAUCAUUAACGCCGUAAACCCAAGGUUUCCUACGCGAUGCUCGUCAUCGUAGGGUUAGUCGGGUCCUAAGUCGAGUCCGAAAGGGGUAGACGAUGGCAAAUUGGUUAAUAUUCCAAUACCAACAUUAGUGUGCGAUGGAAGGACGCUUAGGGCUAAGGGGGCUAGCGGAUGGAAGUGCUAGUCUAAGGUCGUAGGAGGUUAUACAGGCAAAUCCGUAUAACAUACUCCGAGAACUGAAAGGCUUUUUGAAGUCUUCGGAUGGAUAGAAGAACCCCUGAUGCCGUCGAGCCAAGAAAAGUUUCUAAGUUUAGCUAAUGUUGCCCGUACCGUAAACCGACACAGGUGGGUGGGAUGAGUAUUCUAAGGCGCGUGGAAGAACUCUCUUUAAGGAACUCUGCAAAAUAGCACCGUAUCUUCGGUAUAAGGUGUGGUUCGCUUCGUAUUAGGAUUUACUCCGAAAGCGAAGAAACUUACAACAAAGAGUCCCUCCCGACUGUUUACCAAAAACACAGCACUCUGCUAACUCGUAAGAGGAUGUAUAGGGUGUGACGCCUGCCCGGUGCUCGAAGGUUAAUUGAUGGGGUUAGCAUUAGCGAAGCUCUUGAUCGAAGCCCGAGUAAACGGCGGCCGUAACUAUAACGGUCCUAAGGUAGCGAAAUUCCUUGUCGGUUAAAUACCGACCUGCAUGAAUGGCGUAACGAGAUGGGAGCUGUCUCAAAGAGGGAUCCAGUGAAAUUGUAGUGGAGGUGAAAAUUCCUCCUACCCGCGGCAAGACGGAGAGACCCCGUGGACCUUUACUACAGCUUGACACUGCUAUUUGGAUAAGAAUGUGCAGGAUAGGUGGGAGGCUUUGAGUAUAUGACGCCAGUUGUAUAUGAGCCAUUGUUGAGAUACCACUCUUUCUUAUUUGGGUAGCUAACCAGCUUGAGUUAUCCUCAAGUGGGACAAUGUCUGGUGGGUAGUUUGACUGGGGCGGUCGCCUCCCAAAUAAUAACGGAGGCUUACAAAGGUUGGCUCAGAACGGUUGGAAAUCGUUCGUAGAGUAUAAAGGUAUAAGCCAGCUUAACUGCAAGACAUACAAGUCAAGCAGAGACGAAAGUCGGUCUUAGUGAUCCGGUGGUUCUGUGUGGAAGGGCCAUCGCUCAAAGGAUAAAAGGUACCCCGGGGAUAACAGGCUGAUCUCCCCCAAGAGCUCACAUCGACGGGGAGGUUUGGCACCUCGAUGUCGGCUCAUCGCAUCCUGGGGCUGGAGCAGGUCCCAAGGGUAUGGCUGUUCGCCAUUUAAAGCGGUACGCGAGCUGGGUUCAGAACGUCGUGAGACAGUUCGGUCCCUAUCUGCCGUGGGCGUAAGAAGAUUGAAGAGAUUUGACCCUAGUACGAGAGGACCGGGUUGAACAAACCACUGGUGUAGCUGUUGUUCUGCCAAGAGCAUCGCAGCGUAGCUAAGUUUGGAAAGGAUAAACGCUGAAAGCAUCUAAGCGUGAAGCCAACUCUAAGAUGAAUCUUCUCUAAGCUCUCUAGAAGACUACUAGUUUGAUAGGCUGGGUGUGUAAUGGAUGAAAGUCCUUUAGCUGACCAGUACUAAUAGAGCGUUUGGCUUAUCUUUAAUAAAGCAU